UCAGGGUUUCUGACACAGUCAGGAUGUGGUUUCAACACUGUGUCUUGUACAGUAAUAGACGGCAGAGUCCUCAGAUGUCAGGCUGCGGAGCUCCAUGUAGGCUGUGCUGGAGGAUUUGUCUGCAGUCAGUGUGGCCUUGCCCUUGAACUUCUGAUUGUAGGCAGUACCACAAGUUUCAGGAUCAAUAGCUCCAAUCCAUUCCAGGCCGUGCACAGGUGUCUGCUUCACACAGUGCAUUUCAUAGUCAGUAAAUGUGUAGCCCGAAGCCUUGCAGGACAGCUUCACUGAAGCCCCAGGCCUCACCAGCUCAGCCCCAGACUGCUGCAGUUGAACCUGGGAUUGGACACCUAUGAAGAAUAAUGCAGAGUGGAUGUCAUUGUUACCUCAGGCCCUGUCUCCACUUCAGAUUUGGAAAUGAUUCUGACAGAGAAUUUCAGGGGAUAGCAAUAUCAAGCUCCCAUCAACAAGAACUUCCCAGCAUCUGCAAUAGAAUCUGGGUUUUACAACUGCAUAUGGGAUGGAUCUCAAGAUUCUGACAGAGAAUUUCGGGAGAUAGCCAUAUCAGGCUCCCAUCACAAGAACGUCCCACCAUCUGCAGUAGAAUCUGGUCUUGGCAAAUGCAUAUGGGAUGGAUCUCCAGGUAGGGCAGUAUGAAUGGCCUUUCCUUUUGUCUGUGCUCCACAUUU